GAUGAACGCUGGCGGCGUGCCUAAUACAUGCAAGUCGAGCGAACGGACGAGAAGCUUGCUUCUCUGAUGUUAGCGGCGGACGGGUGAGUAACACGUGGAUAACCUACCUAUAAGACUGGGAUAACUUCGGGAAACCGGAGCUAAUACCGGAUAAUAUUUUGAACCGCAUGGUUCAAAAGUGAAAGACGGUCUUGCUGUCACUUAUAGAUGGAUCCGCGCUGCAUUAGCCAGUUGGUAAGGUAACGGCUUACCAAGGCAACGAUGCAUAGCCGACCUGAGAGGGUGAUCGGCCACACUGGAACUGAGACACGGUCCAGACUCCUACGGGAGGCAGCAGUAGGGAAUCUUCCGCAAUGGGCGAAAGCCUGACGGAGCAACGCCGCGUGAGUGAUGAAGGUCUUCGGAUCGUAAAACUCUGUUAUUAGGGAAGAACAUAUGUGUAAGUAACUGUGCACAUCUUGACGGUACCUAAUCAGAAAGCCACGGCUAACUACGUG
rnacentral:rRNA from 1 species